UACGUAGGUGGCAAGCGUUGUCCGGAUUUACUGGGCGUAAAGGGCGUGCAGGCGGUCUGUUAAGUCUAGGGUGAAAGCUCCCGGCUCAACUGGGAGAGGUCCUUGGAUACUGGCAGACUUGAGGAGAGUAGAGGAGAGUGGAAUUCCCGGUGUAGUGGUGAUAUGCGUAGAUAUCGGGAGGAACACCAGUGGCGAAGGCGGCUCUCUGGGCUCUACCUGACGCUGAGACGCGAAAGCGUGGGGAGCGAACCGG
rnacentral:rRNA from 1 species